rnacentral:ncRNA from 1 species
AGUAUUCAUAAGAUGACAUAUUUUGUAAAUUAUUGCUUAGUAAAUACCAUAACAAGUUGCAAGUAGCUUAUUGGAAUUUUAAGGUUAAAAUACCAUAAACUUUUACAUUUCAUAUUCAGUGUUGAUAUUUGGGUGGCUUCAGAACAGAGUCAAAUUUACAAAAGGUUUUCUGGAAUAGGACUCCUGUUCUAUUUUGUUGGUUUUUGGAAACAGGACCAUCAUUAAGAGGGAUGGCCAGGGGCAUUUGUAUUGUGCUGCUAGAGGUGAAAUUCUUGGACUGAUGCAAGACGGCCUAGAGCGAAAGCAUUUGCCAAGAAUGAAAGUCAGAGGUUCGAAGACAAUCAGAUACCGUCGUAGUUCCAACCAUAAACAAUGUCAACUGGUGAUAAAUUUUGGGAGGGGAGUCUCUGUGGCACAAUUGGUUAGUGCGUUCGGCUGUUAACCGAAAGGUUGGUGGUUUGGGCC